CCGGUCCGAAAUCCAUAUUGCAAAAUCCGGAACUGUCCGGUCCGGAUACGGGUUGUCUAACCCGGGUACCGCUUUUAAAAUCCGGUACCCGGUUUAUGUAAAAACCAAACUCGCUCGUUUUCAUUAGGUUUUCAUCGUCUUCAGCCUUCCGCCCCCUUUCGCUUCAUCUCUCUCACUCUCUCGCCGAAACCUAGCUCACUCUCUCACUCUCUCGCCCUCUUUCGCUCGUUUUCAUUAGGUUUUAAAAUACGGGUCGUCUCUGUCUUCCUCCUCGUCUCGCUCUCUCUUCUCUCUCUUUCCUGUCUCACGCCGAAACCCUAAGCUCCUCUGCCGAUCAAAGAGUCAUUUUUAUCAUCGUGCCUUCGUUUUCAUCCUCGGGUAUGUCUUAUUCUUUUUGUUUUGUUUUUUUUUUUUCUCUCUUUGUUGAUUUUGGGUUUGUUUGAGGAGUAUUUUUAUGGGUUAGAUCUGUAAUGUUUUUAUGAGUAUGUUUGUUGUAUAUGUUAUAAAUACUUCUUUUUGGUUCGUAACUCAACAAUAUUUUUCUUGAUUUUUGAAUCUGUUGUAAAUGUUUCUUUGGAUAGGCAAAACUUGGGUCUCACCGUCAGUGAGAUAUGCAGUUGUUCCUGACGAAACUACAUCAUCAUGGUGAGGAAGAGGAGAACUGAACUUUACUUUGUAAUAUCUUAGAUUACGUUUGUGUUUCAAUUGCUACAUCAGUUCUAUGUUGCCAGCUUGGUAAAAGCUUUGCUAGAAAUGGAAAAUAUAAAAGAAAAAGAAAAGAAAAAUGCUCGGUGAAAGAAACAGCAGAUAAUGCCAUAUUAAAAAUAUGGCUACUUGCAUUUGAAUUAAAUUUUUUUUGCUUUUGCUUAGUUAUGAAUUUUCUAGUUAAUGGAAAUGUGCUGAUGAGGUUACUCUCUCACUUUGUUACUGAUUCCUAAGGUUUCAGUUUGGCAA